AGUGAACGCUGGCGGUAGGCCUAACACAUGCAAGUCGAACGGCAGCACAGUAAGAGCUUGCUCUUACGGGUGGCGAGUGGCGGACGGGUGCGGAAUACCUCGGAAUCUACUUUUUCGUGGGGGAUAACGUAGGGAAACUUACGCUAAUACCGCAUACGACCUACGGGUGAAAGCAGGGGAUCUUCGGACCUUGCGCGAUUGAAUGAGCCGAUGUCGGAUUAGCUAGUUGGCGGGGUAAAGGCCCACCAAGGCGACGAUCCGUAGCUGGUCUGAGAGGAUGAUCAGCCACACUGGAACUGAGACACGGUCCAGACUCCUACGGGAGGCAGCAGUGGGGAAUAUUGGACAAUGGGCGCAAGCCUGAUCCAGCCAUACCGCGUGGGUGAAGAAGGCCUUCGGGUUGUAAAGCCCUUUUGUUGGGAAAGAAAAGCAGCAGGUUAAUACCCCGCUGUUCUGACGGUACCCAAAGAAUAAGCACCGGCUAACUUCGUG
rnacentral:rRNA from 1 species